UCCUUGAACACCUGUCUGGAAUGGGCUCGUUUUUCUUUUUAAAGAAGGAGAGAGGCUCCCGCGUGGGGCCUCCAGCAGGCACAGCGCCCACUGGGACGGCACUUCCCUUCCAGGUCCCUUGGGGAGAUGGAGAGGGACGGUUACCACGGCGAAGGUGUGCCCUGCCGAAUUAAUUGCCUUUUGCAAUAGAUUCUGGUUCCAAAAAGGGCAACUGAUUAAAAAUUAAACAGCUAAUAGAGGAGCACGUAUGGCCGACGCUGUGAGGAUGGGGCCUGUGUGUGGGACCUGCCACGUCCUAUGACUUAGCUGGCACAAUUAUUCUUCCGGUUGCAUCUGACCUCCCAUUCACAGAAGAGGAAGUGGAGGGUCAGGGCAGCGUGGGGCCCUGCUGGCGACGGAGCAGGCGGGGAAGCCACCGACCUCCGAGGCGUCUGCUGAAGGGUCAGCUGUGACUAAUGACAAUGGAACAAACAGCCUUUGACUUCUGCUGAGCGCUGACCACGUGCGUGCAGGGCACACGGCUUGCAAGGGAGGGAGAGGAAAACUCGGGUCUUUGGAGGAAGGAGAGCGGCUGUUAGAAACCAGAUGUGACGCCGUCCUGGACGAGGACAGGCCCCUCCGAGGCUCCAGCAACGAGCUCGGGAGGGAUGUUUACGCUGCGCGGAGAAGUCGGCUGAGCCUGACACAAGGCUCCGAGCGCAGAGGGGCCGGAGCGCGGAGCCGAGCCAAUGACAAUAAACAGUGUUUGCCGAGGCGAUGCGGAAAGAAUUCAGCACCACCUGAUGAAAUUUAUCCAUCUUCUGGUUUUCAUCACCUGCCUGCCGCACUAGAACCUCAGCUCCUUGGGGCAGGGGUCUCUGCCCACCUCGUUCCGGCCCGUGUCCCUGAAUCUGGAACGGAGCUCGGCAAGUGGCUAGGUCCUCAGCAGAUGCUCGUGGGACAAGUGAGAACAACUGUAAGCCUGCAUUCGCCUCACCCUGACUGUUCUCCAGACGAAAUAAAAUCGGGGAGGAGGGCUGUCCUGCGUUUCGUUUUUGCAGGUCUCCUCCAUGUCUGAUGUAACGGGGGACGGCUGGGUUCCCGUCUCUGCGUCUGCAUCCGACCUGCUGCGAUGCGUGGUUUUGGUUAUGCGUCAUGAGAAACCCAGCCUCACGCAGAUCCAUGCCCGUGGAGAGGGGAGGAGUAUUUAAAACCCCUUUUAAUAGUUGUGGGGGUGCUACGCACCUUCUAGAAAAACGCUGAGAAAAACAAGGGUGAAAAGGCAAACAUGCCUCCAUAUUAUCAUGAACACGCUUUUGGGUCCAGGGAUCCUGGAACCACACUUUGAGAACCCUCCCUGGGUGACAGAACCCUCAUGUUCCACGUGAACCCAGUGAGGGAGAUACUGUUUCUAUCCCCAUUUUACAGCUGGAAAAACCGAGGCACAGAGAGGCGGAGUCCCUUUUUGCCCAAUGUCCUCCAGCUGGUGAGGGGCAGAGCUGAGACGCAAACCCAGGUGGCCCGUCUGGGCUCCACACUGAGGUCACUUCCCCAGGAUUCGGCUGGCUGUGGGCUGUGCAGGGACAGCCGCUCCCGGAGCCUCGGCACGGGGACCUGGGACGGAGCCACAGACCCCAUCUGGAUCAGGCUUUGCAGCAGUGCAGGCCUCAAGGGAUGAUGGUCCUUAUCCUGGAAGGCAGCCGGGCGUGGGGGCGGGGCUCUAGAGCUUCCCGUCCGGGUUUAAAUCAAGCUGUCUCCACACACUGGCGGUUACGGAACAGUCACGGGAUGUACAGCACAGCACAGGGAGUACAGCCAGGAACGUUGGCAAUAACCAUGUGUGGUGCCAGAGGGGUGCUAGACUUACCGGGGUGGUCGCUUACUGAGUUCUGUAAGUGUCCAAUCACUGGGUUGUACACCUGAAACUACUGAAA